rnacentral:rRNA from 1 species
UACGAGGGGGGCGAGCGUUGUUCGGAAUUAUUGGGCGUAAAGGGUGCGUAGGCGGUUUGGUAAGUCUUAUGUGAAAUCUACAGGCUCAACUUGUAGUCUGCAUGAGAAACUGCCGGGCUUGAGUAUGGGAGAGGUGAGUGGAAUUCCUGGUGUAGCGGUGAAAUGCGUAGAUAUCAUGAGGAAUACCAGAGGCGAAGGCGGCUACCUGGACAAUUGCUGACGCUCAGGCACGAAAGCGUGGGGAGCAAAAGGG